GUCGCCGCGAAGCCGGUCGCGCGCAGCUCGUCCCGGCCCUGGCCCGCCGCAGACGAGGAUCCGCUGCGCUCGGGAAACGCGACAGCGGCGCUCGUGGCCCCGGACCUGAAGACCCUUCCAGAAUGCCAGAGGAAAGUUCCCCCAGGCGGACCCCACAGAGCAUUCCCUACCAGGACCUCCCUCACCUGGUCAAUGCAGAUGGACAGUACCUCUUCUGCAGGUACUGGAAACCCACAGGCACACCCAAGGCCCUCAUCUUUGUGUCCCACGGAGCCGGAGAGCACUGUGGCCGCUAUGAAGAGCUGGCUCGGAUGCUGAUGGGGCUGGACCUGCUGGUGUUUGCCCACGACCAUGUUGGCCACGGACAGAGUGAAGGGGAGAGGAUGGUAGUGUCUGACUUCCACAUUUUCGUCAGAGAUGUGUUGCAGCAUGUGGAUUCCAUGCAGAAAGACUACCCUGGGCUUCCUGUCUUCCUUCUGGGCCACUCCAUGGGAGGCGCCGUCGCCAUCCUCACGGCCGCAGAGAGGCCGGGCCACUUCGCCGGCAUGGUACUCAUUUCGCCUCUGGUUCUUGCCAAUCCUGAAUCUGCAACAACUUUCAAGGAUUAUUCGAGGAUUUUGAAACACUUGAUGGAAAAGGCAUCAAGAAUGUUAAAGUUUUGGAUUCCACGUCCUUUUUGGGUGAGCAGCUCCCCUCUGAGGCUUCCCUGGUGUGCUCACAGCUCAGAGUGGAGGUUGUGGGAGAGCGGGAGCAGCAGUCAUCUGGUCGACCUUGACAAUGUGAUCCAUCUGGGUGUGGGAUCUGCCAUGACUCUUUCCUUCCCCACUGCUUCCUCGUCAUGCCGCCUCAAUGGCCCCUGCUCAACCGUUCUGCCUUCCUUCAUGCACAAUCAACCCACUUCCUCUGCUUAGCUCUUUCUCCUCCCAUCCUACCCUUUCCUCCUUCAGGAGAGAUUAGGCUCAUGAAAUCAACAAAUCUUAAAAGAGCAGCAGGGAAAGGGAAUCUCUUUUGAAGUUGUUCAAAGCAUCCUGCCCCUGCAUGGCAGCUCUCCUCUUUCUU
rnacentral:sRNA from 1 species